UACGAAGGGGGCUAGCGUUGCUCGGAAUCACUGGGCGUAAAGGGUGCGUAGGCGGGUCUUUAAGUCAUGGGUGAAAUCCUGGAGCUCAACUCCAGAACUGCCUUUGAUACUGAAGAUCUUGAGUUCGGGAGAGGUGAGUGGAACUGCGAGUGUGGAGGUGAAAUUCGUAGAUAUUCGCAAGAACACCAGUGGCGAAGGCGGCUCACUGGCCCGAUACUGACGCUGAGGCACGAAAGCGUGGGGAGCAAACAGG
rnacentral:rRNA from 1 species